AACGAACGCUGGCGGCAUGCCUAACACAUGCAAGUCGAACGAACCCUUCGGGGUGAGUGGCGCACGGGUGCGUAACACGUGGGAACCUGCCCUUAGGUUCGGAAUAACACAGAGAAAUUUGUGCUAAUACCGGAUAAUGUCUUCGGACCAAAGAUUUAUCGCCUUUGGAUGGGCCCGCGUAGGAUUAGCUAGUUGGUGAGGUAAAGGCUCACCAAGGCGACGAUCCUUAGCUGGUCUUAGAGGAUGAUCAGCCACACUGGGACUGAGACACGGCCCAGACUCCUACGGGAGGCAGCAGUGGGGAAUAUUGGACAAUGGGCGAAAGCCUGAUCCAGCAAUGCCGCGUGAGUGAUGAAGGCCUUAGGGUUGUAAAGCUCUUUUACUGGGGAUGAUAAUGACAGUACCCAGAGAAUAAGCCCCGGCUAACUCCGUGCCAGCCGCCGCAGUAA
rnacentral:rRNA from 1 species